rfam:Opisthocomus hoazin contig22589, whole genome shotgun sequence.
CUAAAGGCUCUUUUAAGAGCCACCACGUUCCACAAGAGAGCUGUGG